GGACCCAGCAAGAGAAAAUUGACACCAACAGUUGAAGAUUUGGAAGAAAUUAUACGCAGCAAAAGGGAAAGCCAGACUGGCUAUUCCAAGGAAGGGAAGAGUGUACAAAAGAAUCAAUUCUCAGCUUUCCUGUUUCAAAGCAGACAUUGUUGGAAGAGGUGCUGGUGGAACUGAUGCUGACAGCCAGAGACCUGCUGGACUUCUUCCUGGGGCCUCAACUUCAGUCUUGCCCUGAAACCCUAGUUUUUGUCCCAGGGAAAAGUAAAGGGAGGAAGGAGGAAAUUCUUACCUGAAACUAUAUUUCAGUACCAGGAAGGAAAAAUCAGAAGAUGAGGCCCCUGGCUUCCAAGACUUCCAUUGUAUAAUAAGAAUGAUUUCUGUUCAAUGAACCAAAUGCCAGGAAAGAAAUACAAUGACAUGGAAAGACGCAUCUAGAAAGCAGUUGCUUCAUUUGGGACAAUUUUUACAUUUGGAGUGAUGUCAGAGAUGAUCCUGGAAAGAAGAGGGAAAGGGAGGAGAAAAGGUGUCCAGCAGCAGAAAAAAGAAGGAAGGAGAGCUGAGCGUGUCCCACAAGCCUGACCAGGGGCUGCCAGGAGGGACCAGGCUGGGAAGAUGGGUAGGGUAGGCUUCCAAUGCUGCUGAGUUGGGAUUAAGCAAUUGGAGGCCAUCAAAGGGUUUUGAGUAAGGAUGAGGUAUAAAAACCACAUUUUCUCCUUAAAAAUAAAGACCAUCCUGGUGUUAGUGUGGAGAAUGGAUUUAAAAAGGGUGAGAGACUGGAAACUUGGAAGAUCACUUAACAGGCAGGCUUUCACAAUAGCCUCUUCCCUCCAGGAUAUAAACCCAUCUACCUCCUGGUGAGGUUCAAAUUAGGAAUAAAAGGGUGAGUACUUUUUUCUUAUGACAAACUGAAGAUGAAAGUAGAGAUGCUUCCCUACAACUAGAGCUUUAAUUGAAAAAUUUCAAGGGAAGGACAUUCUAAAACCUGCAAGUAGUUUAGAUUUGAUUUUUCAGUCAGAUAACUUUUUUUUCUGGGACCUCUUGUAGUCAGACAUCUUCAUGGACACUUGGGGGAAGAUAUUUAAUAAAUGGUAUGUGAGAAUAUCAUGAAAUUAAUCAUUCCCUUUGUAAUAUAAAUACCAUUUCAAAAUGGGCUAGAGAGUGAUUGUUUUUAUGUAGAAAAAAAGUCUCAGAAUUUAAAUUUAAAUUUUUUAGUUUCAGCUAGAAAGCCUGAUGGUUGUCUUUCUCCUCCUUGGUUACACUGAAUUUUCUUGUAUUUAUUUACAUCUGCCUCCCAGGCUAAGCCACAUAAAAAACACCUACCUCAAAUACCUAGGACUAAUGGCUUAAUUUGACAAUUUGUAGAUGGUAUUCUUAUAUUACCCUUUAGGACCUUAAUAAUUAGUUUUUCUUUAGUGUGGUAUUAAAGCAUUAAAGGUCAUAAAUUCCACAGUCACCUGUAUCCAUUUAUUGCUAAUUUAUUAUAGAACAUAUCAUAAAACUUUCCUUGACAUAUAGGCCUCUUCAUAACUGUAAAUCUUUUUUCAACUGUUUAGAUAACUUAUGCUUAAGUUCACGAAGAGACCUCUAGGAGCAAAUAUUUAAAAC